rnacentral:misc_RNA from 1 species
CCCGGAUGGGUGGCUCCUCUGCGGAAGUUGAAGUGGCGACGUUUUGAUCGUAACCCCGUGCCAGGAGGAGCCCCUAUGGCGGCUCCCCCUUCUGGCCACGCGCACGAAGUUAGUGUGACGUCUGCGGCGGCCGGCGGGUCUAGUUCUCUCGAGUCCGGUGGCGCGCGUCCCCGCAGGCGGCAUUCACACAGAUGUAACCGGUCAAGCCAGCGCCACCAUGCUCCCUCUUCGUCCUCCUCGUCGGAUGAUGAUCGUCGCGGGGAAUCCCCUCAUCCUGCCACUCCGGUUUCGGGUUUGUGCCCGUGGCGCAUCCUUGCUCGCUUGGCCAAACUGGAGGGCCGAGAGGUUUCACUGCAUUGGGCUCUCGUCAUCACCCUCGUCGGCAACUCGGUGGAUGCUUCGGUGGAGGACAUCUCUGCUAUUCUCGUUCAAUGGCAUGGUCUGUCUGAAGAUUUGUUGGCUUUUCAACGCCUUUCUCAUGAUGAGCUCCUGCUCACCCUGCCGGAUGAGGCUAAGGCCGUUCGGGUGUUCGACAGAGGGCAGUCGGUGAUCACCCCCUCCCUAAGGUUGCAUGUGGCCCGCUGGUCCCAGUUCCUCCAUGCUUCUGGCACGGCUCUGCCCAUGGCCAUUAACGUCGAAAUCAGGGGCAUUCCUGCCAUUAACGUCAAAUUUCUACGUCAACCCCACCCUCACCGCCGAGUUCUGUGGAUCCUCCACCUCCGCCUCAAGGGGACGACGGACGAUGUCAUCGGAGCUAGCGGCAACGCCAUGGUCAUCCUA